rnacentral:rRNA from 1 species
UACGUAGGGCGCAAGCGUUGUCCGGAAUUAUUGGGCGUAAAGAGCUCGGAGGCGGCUUGUCACGUCGGGUGUGAAAGCCCGGGGCUUAACCCCGGGUCUGCAUUCGAUACGGGCUAGCUAGAGUGUGGUAGGGGAGAUCGGAAUUCCUGGUGUAGCGGUGAAAUGCGCAGAUAUCAGGAGGAACGCCUGUGGUGUAGACGGCUCUCUGGACCAUUACUGACACUGAGGUACGAAAGCGUGGGUAGCAAACAGG